GCAACGGCGCCGGAAUGACUGCCACACAACAAAACAACCAUGCAGCACAUGCAGACUAGUGCAAACAUUAAAAAACAACAAAAAAAUGAAAUGAAUAAACACAAAAGCGAAGGGCAAUAAAAUUAAUCAGGAGCAAAAUAUUUACUUC